rnacentral:rRNA from 1 species
AAAAACAUGUCUUUUUGAAAAUAAUAAAAAGUCUAAUCUGCCCACUGAAUUUAUUUAAAGGGCUGCAGUAUAUUGACUGUACAAAGGUAGCAUAAUCAAUAGUCUUUUAAUUGAAGACUUGUAUGAAUGAUUUGAUGAAAUAUGAACUGUCUCUUUUUUAAAAAUAAAAUUUAAUUUUUUAGUUAAAAAGCUAAAAUAAUUAUAAAAGACGAGAAGACCCUAUAGAGUUUUAUAGUUAUUUAAUUUAAAAAUUUUAUAUAUAAUUUAAAUUUAAAAUUAAUUAAUUAUUUUAUUGGGGUGAUAGAAAAAUUAAAAAAACUUUUUUUUAAAAUUUAACAUUAAUUUAUGAAAUUAUGAUCCAUAAUUUAUGAUUAAAAGAAUCAAUUACCUUAGGGAUAACAGCGUAAUUUUUUUUUUUAGUACAAAUAAGAAAAAGAGUUUGCGACCUCGAUGUUGGAUUAAGAUAAAAUUUAAAUGCAAAAGUUUAAAAUUUUUGAUCUGUUCGAUCAUUAAAAUCUUACAUGAUCUGA